rnacentral:rRNA from 1 species
AGUGAACGCUGGCGGUAGGCCUAACACAUGCAAGUCGAACGGCAGCACAGUAAGAGCUUGCUCUUACGGGUGGCGAGUGGCGGACGGGUGAGGUAUACAUCGGAACCUACUUUUUCGUGGGGGAUAACGUAGGGAAACUUACGCUCAUACCGCAUACGACCUACGGGUGAAAGCAUUGGAUCUUCGGACCUUGCGCGAUUGAAUUAGCCGAUGUCGGAUUAGCUAGUUGGCGGGGUAAAGGCCCACCAAGGCGACGAUCCGUAGCUGGUCUGGGAGGAUGAUCGGCGACACUGGAACGUAGACACGGUCCAUACUCCUAAGGGAGGCAGCAGUGGGGAAUAUUGGACAAUGGGCGCAAGCCUGAUCCAGCCAUACCGCGUGGGUGAAGAAGGCCUUCGGGUUGUAAAGCCCUUUUGUUGGGAAAGAAAAGCAGCAGGUUAAUACCCCGCUGUUCUGACGGUACCCAAAGAAUAAGCACCGGCUAACUUCGUG